rnacentral:rRNA from 1 species
CCCGCUGAACUUAAGCAUAUCAAUAAGCGGAGAAAAAGAAACCAACAGGGAUUGCCUUAGUAACGGCGAGUGAAGCGGCAAUAGCUCAAAUUUGAAAUCUGGCGCCUUUGGGUGUCCGAGUUGUAAUUUGUAGAGGAUGUUUCGGUAUUGGCUCCGUCUAAAGUCCCUUGGAACAGGGUGUCGUAGAGGGUGAGAAUCCCGUAUGCGAUCGGCCGCCUUUGCCAUGUGAAACUCCUUCGACGAGUCGAGUUGUUUGGGAAUGCAGCUCUAAUUGGGAGGUAAAUUUCUUCUAAAGCUAAAUACUGGCCAGAGACCGAUAGCGCACAAGUAGAGUGAUCGAAAGAUGAAAAGCACUUUGGAAAGAGAGUUAAAAAGUACGUGAAAUUGUUGAAAGGGAAGCGCUUGCAAUCAGACCUGCUUGCAGUUGUUCAUCUAGGCUUUUGCCUAGUGCAUUCUUCUGUAAGUAGGCCAGUAUCGGUUUGGGCGGUUGGAUAAAGAAUUCAGGAAUGUAGCUCCUCUCGGGGAGUGUUAUAGCCUGUUUUGUAAUGCAGCCAGCCCAGAUCGAGGACCGCGCUUCGGCUAGGAUACUGGCGUAAUGGUUGUAAGCGGCCCGUCUUGAAACACGG